rnacentral:rRNA from 1 species
AGAACGAACGCUGGCGGCACGCCUAACACAUGCAAGUCGAGCGCCCAGCAAUGGGAGCGGCGGACGGGUGAGUAACACGUGGGAAUAUGCCUUUCGGUACGGAACAACUCAGGGAAACUUGAGCUAAUGCCGUAUACGCCCUUACGGGGAAAGAUUUAUCGCCGAAAGAUUAGCCCGCGUCUGAUUAGCUAGUUGGUGAGGUAAUGGCUCACCAAGGCUUCGAUCAGUAGCUGGUUUGAGAGAACGACCAGCCACACUGGGACUGAGACACGGCCCAGACUCCUACGGGAGGCAGCAGUGGGGAAUCUUGGACAAUGGGGGAAACCCUGAUCCAGCGAUGCCGCGUGAGUGAUGAAGGCCUUGGGUUGUAAACUCUUUCGACGGGACGAUAAUGACGGUACCCGUAGAAGAAGCUCCGGCUAACUUCGCGCCAGCAGCCGC